GAUGAAGAACGUAGCGAAAUGCGAUACUUGGUGUGAAUUGCAGAAUCCCGUGAACCAUCGAGUCUUUGAACGCAAGUUGCGCCCGAAGCCAUUAGGCCGAGGGCACGCCUGCCUGGGCGUCACACGUCGUUGCCCCCCCCAUCUACUCCUUCGGGAUUGCGGGGGGCGGAUGAUGGCCUCCCGUGCGCCUCGCCGCGCGGUUGGCAUAAAUGCCAAGUCCUCGGCGACGCACGCCACGACAAUCGGUGGUUGCGAAACCUCGGUUGCCCGUUGUGUGCGGUCGUCGCGCAUCGAGGGCUCGAAAAAAUUGCCGGGCUCCGGCUCGACUUUCAACGCGACCCCAGGUCAGGCGGGGUUACCCGCUGAAUUUAAGCAUAUCAAUAAGCGGAGGA
rnacentral:misc_RNA from 1 species